GGUGAAAAGCACCCCGGAAGGGGAGUGAAAUAGAACCUGAAACCGUGUGCUUACAAGUAGUCAGAGCCCGUUAAUGGGUGAUGGCGUGCCUUUUGUAGAAUGAACCGGCGAGUUACGAUUUGAUGCAAGGUUAAGCAGUAAAUGUGGAGCCGUAGCGAAAGCGAGUCUGAAUAGGGCGUUUAGUAUUUGGUCGUAGACCCGAAACCAGGUGAUCUACCCUUGGUCAGGUUGAAGUUCAGGUAACACUGAAUGGAGGACCGAACCGACUUACGUUGAAAAGUGAGCGGAUGAACUGAGGGUAGCGGAGA
rnacentral:rRNA from 1 species